rnacentral:tRNA from 1 species
GGUUCCGUAGUGUAGUGGUUAUCACGUUCGCUUCGCACUCGAAAGGUCUCCGGUUCGAUCACGGACGGAACCA